rnacentral:lncRNA from 1 species
UCCAUGAUGGGAACAACCUCCGCACUCCGGCGCUCCAAUGAACAACAGUUCUUCGCUUGACUUUAUUUAGAAUAGUGGUCGAUCCCUCGAGAGUUACAUUUGUCACUUAAUGUUAUGUUCACGCGGUGAUAUUCUAUCCAAGAGUACUACCCUACACAUAGUCUAUGUCUAGGGAGCAUACUUGACAGGAGAUAGACCAGGAAAUUAAGCAGCGUAGAGGACAAAGAAAUUGUUGAAGUUCUUGUUUUUUUUAUCAAGUACCUACAUANUUAAUGUUAAGAAAGAANUUUUGACAGGAAGGUUGGCUAGAGAUUUCUUGUAAAAACACUAGCUCUGUUCAGUUGAGAAUGUGAAUACUGGAACUUUUUUUUUAUUGUAUGGAUUUUUCUCAUUACACACAUAAGGGGGAGCCGUAUGAGAUGAAAAUCUCACUUGGUGGAGAGUAGAAAAUUAGAGUUUUCAUGAAGUAUUGUAUUGGGUCAGCAUCUCAAACCCAGUCUCUCAUUAAUAUUAUCAAAUUUAUUAAUAUUCUUAAAUAAUUCCAUAAUAAAUUAUUUAUUGAUGGUAAAAAUCUUAUAUUAUUCAAUAAAGAAAAUUUGAGAUAAAUUUUUUUCUAUAAUUAAAAUUAAUUUUAAUAAUAAAAUUUGAAUGAAUGAUGUAAUUAAUUAGCAAAAAAAUUAAAAGGGUAAUAAAAUAUCAAUAAUUGAUGGUGACGGUUAGAAGUG